CCAUACCACCCUGAAUGCUCUCAAUCUUUUCUGAUUUUGAAAGCUAAGCAGGGUCAGGCCUGGUUAGUAGUUGGAUGGAAGAAGAAACCAGGGAG
rnacentral:rRNA from 1 species